rnacentral:rRNA from 1 species
CAGCAGCCACGGUAAUACGGAGGGUGCGAGCGUUGUCCGGAUUUAUUGGGUUUAAAGGGUGCGUAGGUGGCUUUAUAAGUCAGUGGUGAAAUACGGUUGCUCAACAAUCGAGGUGCCAUUGAUACUGUAGAGCUUGAAAUAAUUGGAGGCUGCCGGAAUGGAUGAUGUAGCGGUGAAAUGCAUAGAUAUCAUCCAGAACACCGAUUGCGAAGGCAGGUGGCUACGAUUUGUUUGACACUGAGGCACGAAAGCAUGGGGAGCAAACAGGAUUAGAUACCCCUGUAGUCCCUGUCUCUUAUAU